UUUGAUUUUCUUCGGAACUGAAGAUUUGGUGAUUGAGUGGCGGACGGGUGAGUAACGCGUGGGUAACCUGCCCUGUACAGGGGGAUAACAGUUGGAAACGACUGCUAAUACCGCAUAAGCGCACAGGAUCGCAUGGUCCGGUGUGAAAAACUCCGGUGGUAUGAGAUGGACCCGCGUCUGAUUAGCCAGUUGGCAGGGUAACGGCCUACCAAAGCGACGAUCAGUAGCCGACCUGAGAGGGUGAUCGGCCACAUUGGAACUGAGACACGGUCCAAACUCC
rnacentral:rRNA from 1 species